rnacentral:rRNA from 1 species
UACGUAGGGUGCGAGCGUUGUCCGGAAUUACUGGGCGUAAAGCGUGCGCAGGCGGCUUCUCAAGUCAGGGGUGAAAGCCCAGAGCUCAACUCUGGAAUUGCCUUUGAGACUGAGUGGCUUGAGUACGAGAGAGGUGAGUGGAAUUCCCAGUGUAGAGGUGAAAUUCGUAGAUAUUGGGAAGAACACCGGUGGCGAAGGCGGCUCACUGGAACGCAACUGACGCUGAGACGCGAAAGCGUGGGGAGCAAACAGG